AAUGAACGCUAAUAGUAUGCUUAACACAUGCGAGUUGAACGAAAUUUUUUCGUAGCGAACGGGUGAGGAAUAUGCAAGACUCUGCCUUUUAGUUUGGAAUAAAACAUAUCAAAAUAUUUUUUUUUGAUUAAAAAUUAAUAAAAGUUUGUGUUAAUACUAAAUAAAUGCAAAAAGGCUACAAAUUACUAAAAUCUAUUUUAGUAAAUACAAGGAUUAUUUGUUAAGAAAGACUACCGAAGAAUUGGUUUUUACUUUUGCAAAUAUUAUGUAUGUAGUUGCUAAAAGAUGAGUUUGCAUAAGAUUAGGUAGUUGGUAAUGUAAUAGCUCACCAAGCCUUUGAUCUUUAGUUGGUCUGAGAGGAUGAUCAACCACACUGGAACUGCAACAAGGUCCAGGCUGAUUUUUUCGGCCAGCAGUGAGGAAUAUUGGACAAUGAACAAAAGUUUGAUCCAGCAAUACUAUCUGAAUGAUGACGGCUAAUUCGGUUGUAAAAUUUACUUUUUUUAAAAAAUGAUAAUGACA
rnacentral:rRNA from 1 species